CUCGAAUCACGAGAACAUGAGUACCAAUCGAUUACGCAUGAGAAUCACCGCCGAGAAUCGAUCGUUACUAACACAUCGAUAAACGGAUAAGUAGAGUUCGCUGUACAAGUGCAUAUGCAAAAUUUGACAGAACUAUGAUCGAAUACCACAAUUCGUGGAAAUAGUGCGAGAACAAAAAGGAAACGAUCUAUCAUAAUACACAUUAUCAUAAAUUUUUUAAUUUACAAAUUUAUAAAUUUGUAUUACUGUUUUUCAAUAAUAUUUGUGUUACUGUUUUUCUGUAUUUUUUUUAGGUUAUAGAAGUGAUCAAUAUGGCUUCCGUGCAGCUCGUAUAAAACUAAACGCCUGACCAUCGAUGUUCAAAGCAUUAUAUAACAAGACAAAUUGCAGUAGAGUCACUUUUACCUGUCACAACAUUGACAAGAACUCUCACGAUGGUACAUACGAUGCCUUCGUACGUAACGUUAAGCAUAAAGAUACUUUUUAUGGACGCAAUAUAGUAAUACCGGCUAAUGAACAUGAUCAGCUUUCCAUGCUCCUUAUUUACCGUGGUUCUACCGCAAAAUAUUAUACCCGCGUGCACGCUCGUGUUCAUGUAAGCGAAGAAGCAGCAGUUUAGACAAAUAUCCCUUGUACCUUCGAGCAACAAACGCUGAACCACUAUCCAUGAACCAAUAAUAAUCAGAACCGUUACCUAACAAGUAAUCGGAUUACACUGGCAAAGCUUGGAGUUAUGUUUGAAGUCGGUGACGUCAAGGUAUUGAUAUUUUUAACCCACAGAAUGCCAAUCUGAGUCAGAAAAUUGCCAAUAUUUGCCAUUUUCUUUCUUUUACUUCCAGGAAAGGUGUGAGUAAUAGCAUACAGUGUGAGAAGUUUUCAAACUCUGCAAGUAUAAUGAAAAUCAAUUCGACAGCGAACAUUUGUGUUAAACAUCAUAUUAGUUGUGUCAUGAUGUCAAAAAAAUGAGAGAAAAUCUUUAUUAUGGUUCAAAGACCGUAGAAAGCGAGAGAUUCGUAAUUCGUGAGCGCUGUUAUGUAUAAAAUAAAAGGAGCAUUAUAAUGCUACGAAUAAUGAACCUGUACUAUACGUUUGCGUGCAUCUGCGAACAACUAUCUUGCGUACUGAAUUCAAUUAUCAGUAACACGAGUACUCUCCGAGAAGACGUUGACGACAACAUCUCGGACAAACACACGACGGACAGUUUAGUGACAAUUAUACUAAUGAAUACGCCAAUGGCAAUGCGUAUACUUCAUUAACAUAAAGCCGGUAGAGAAAAAUGUUAAUGGAAACGCUGAUAAAGCUAGACUUUCUGUGAGUAUGAUUUUUAUCUCAAGUGCAACGAUGCGGACGCGACAUUUGCAUCUCUCGUUAUUUCGAUACUAGUGAUGAAUAAUUUCGCGAUAUGUUCAAUUUUCUUUGAUAGAAAAAAUCUCGUUACGUUUUAAAUGUCUUUCGUAACAAUAAUUUAUGAUUUCAUAACUCUAUCCGAGCUUAUCAAUAUUUAUGUUUAAAUACGGUUUCGCUUAUCAUUCGUUCAAUAAAAGAACGUUAAUGUAUUCUAAAGAGGAAAAACCAAUGAGGAAAGAUCAAUGAAUUAAACUUUGAACGAAUGAUCUAGACAAAGACUUUAGAUAUUAAAGGACGUUUAUUUCUUUACUUGUUGAUUUCUCUGAGAUAAUCAUUACUAUUGAAUCUAUACUUGUAUAUACGAAAUCAUGGAAAUAAUAUAUCUGAUUAAAGACGCAUGAAAUUAGAAGAUUAAUAGAUAUCGUUUGAAGAUUAUUUCAUUACGGUGUUUCUAUAGUUAAUAAAUAUUCAUUUUCAUUAUUUUUACUAUUUCUCUGUGCAAUGCAUUACAU